rnacentral:sRNA from 1 species
GGACAAUUUAAAUUGAGCCUGCAGUAAGUCUUGGUUGAAAGUAUUACAGAUUCAAGAGCCUAGCCUUAAAGUAGUUGGUAAAUUGUUAGUGGCUGAUACCCUUCCUCCCCACUCCACCCCAAGUACAGUUCAGAGGCCUGGCACUUCAAAAGAAAAAAGUUUACAUCUCUCUCUUUUUCCCCUUAUGUGCAUUACCUGAGAGGCUGGGAACCUUGAAUUUGCUUAACAACUGGGUAAAUCUACUUUUGGCAAAUGUUCCAGCCAACUCUUCAGAACCCUGGCACUUUUCUCUGUAUGACUCUCUUGAAAAGACUUUCUAAAACUCAUGUUUCUGUGAGUUAUUUUGUUGUUGUUGUUUGUAAUGACUGAUUUAAUUUCUCUUUAGGUAUUGGUGUUCCUAUUAUGUUAGCUUAUGUCUAUGGCGUAGUUCCAAUUUCUCUUUGUCGAAGCGGAGGUUGUGGAGUCUCAGCAGGCAAUGGAAAAGGAGUUAGGAUUGAAUUUGAUGAUGAAAAUGAUAUAAAUGUUGGUGGAACUAACACAGCUGUAGACACAACAUCAGUAGCAGAAGCAAGACACAACC